rnacentral:rRNA from 1 species
UACGUAGGGGGCUAGCGUUGUCCGGAAUCAUUGGGCGUAAAGCGCGUGUAGGCGGUUCGGUAAGUCCGCUGUGAAAGUCGGGGGCUCAACCCUCGGAUGCCGGUCGAUACUGCCGGACUAGAGUUCGGAAGAGGCAAGUGGAAUUCCCGGUGUAGCGGUGAAAUGCGCAGAUAUCGGGAGGAACACCUAUGGCGAAGGCAGCUCGCUGGGACGUUACUGACGCUGAGACGCGAAAGCGUGGGGAGCAAACAGG